rnacentral:snRNA from 1 species
UGUUUUUGAUACUAUUUUGAUC